CCUACGGGAGGCAGCAGUGGGGAAUAUUGCACAAUGGGCGCAAGCCUGAUGCAGCCAUGCCGCGUGCAUGAAGAAGGCCUUCGGGUUGUAAAGUACUUUCAGCGGGGAGGAAGGGAGUAAAGUUAAUACCUUUGCUCAUUGACGUUACCCGCAGAAGAAGCACCGGCUAACUCCGUGCCAGCAGCCGCGGUAAU
rnacentral:rRNA from 1 species